rnacentral:misc_RNA from 1 species
UGACAGAAUGAAGGAAUGACUUUGUGUGUUCGACUGCAAUUUUCCUUCUGUCGAAGUCAAUUGUAAUCCAUUCUCCCUCAUCUCUUGUAAAGUAUAGGAUCUAUUUAACUUUAUAAAUUUACACCCAAUAUUUACACAUUCUUGCAGCUUUGGUCUUCUGAAGUCCUUAAGUUGAAGAUAUCCUUUAUAGCUGUUCUUGUCAUUGUCUUCUUCCUCAUUUCUUUGUGCAAAAAUAUCUAGUGAAUUUGCUAAGUCUUCUAAUGAUUUGAAGUCAUCUAAUAUUUCGGUCAGCGAAACACGACUUUGUAUACGAUGUUUCAAUGAAAAUGGAUUGGAUGAGACAUGCUUUCGUUUAAUGGAUAUAAUGAAUGAGCGUGCAGCUUUCUACAUAAAACAUACAAAAUUUAAAUGCUUGAACUGAUCGCGAUACAUAGUGAGACGUAGGUUGAUGAGAGCGACGCGCUUCGCGAUGAGCGCU